AGAGCGAACGCUGGCGGCAGGCCUAACACAUGCAAGUCGAGCGGACGUAGCAAUACGUCAGCGGCAGACGGGAGAGUAACACGUGGGAACGCGCCCUUCGGUUCGGAAUAACUCAGGGAAACUUGAGCUAAUACCGGAUACGCCCUUACGGGGAAAGAUUUAUUGCCGAAGGAACGGCCCGCGUCCGAUUAGCUUGUUGGUGAGGUAAUGGCUCACCAAGGCGACGAUCGGUAGCUGGGUCUGAGAGGAUGACCAGCCUCACUGGGACUGAGACACGGCCCAGACUCCUACGGGAGGCAGCAGUGGGGAAUAUUGGACAAUGGGCGCAAGCCUGAUCCAGCCAUGCCGCGUGGAUGAUGAAGGCCCUAGGGUUGUAAAGUCCUUUUAACGGGGAGAUAAUGACGGUACCCGUAGAAUAAGCCCCGGCUAACUUCGUGCCAGCAGCCGC
rnacentral:rRNA from 1 species